AAUCAACGCUGGCGGCGUGCCUAACACAUGCAAGUCGAACGCGAAAGCCCCUUCGGGGGCAAGUAGAGUGGCGUCCGGGUGAGUAACACGUGGGUAAUCUACCUCCGGGUGGGGAAUAACUCGCCGAAAGGUGGGCUAAUACCGCAUAAUGCAGCGGCACCGAAUGGUGAUUAGUUGUUAAAGCGGGGGACCUUAGGGCCUCGCGUCUGGAGAGGAGCCUGCGGCAGAUUAGCUUGUUGGAGGGUAAUGGCCUACCAAGGCUGCGAUCUGUAGCUGGUCUGAGAGGACGGCCAGCCACACUGGCACUGACACACGGGCCAGACUCCUACGGGAGGCAGCAGUGGGGAAUUUUGGGCAAUGGGCGAAAGCCUGACCCAGCAACGCCGCGUGAAGGAGGAAAUCCUUCGGGAUGUAAACUUCACAAGCAAGGGAAGAGCGCGCAGGGUCGAAUAAACUCU
rnacentral:rRNA from 1 species